rnacentral:rRNA from 1 species
UACGUAGGGGGCAAGCGUUAUCCGGAUUCACUGGGUGUAAAGGGAGCGUAGACGGCCAUGCAAGCCCGGAGUGAAAGCCCGGGGCCCAACCCCGGGACUGCUCUGGGAACUGUGCGGCUGGAGUGCGGGAGGGGCAGGCGGAAUUCCUGGUGUAGCGGUGAAAUGCGUAGAUAUUAGGAGGAACACCAGUGGCGAAGGCGGCUUACUGGACGGCAACUGACGCUGAGGCUCGAAAGCGUGGGGAGCAAACAGG